rnacentral:rRNA from 1 species
UACAGAGGUCUCAAGCGUUGUUCGGAUUCAUUGGGCGUAAAGGGCGCGUAGGCGGCCCUCCUUGUCGCGUGUGAAAGCCCCGGGCUCAACCUGGGAACGGCGCGCGAGACGGGGGGGCUGGAGUUCGGGAGAGGAGCGUGGAAUUCCCAGUGUAGAGGUGAAAUCGUAGAUAUUGGGAAGAACACCGGUGGCGAAGGCGGCGCUCUGGACCGAGACUGACGCUGAGGCGCGAAAGCGUGGGGAGCAAACAGG